AACGAACGCUGGCGGCAUGCCUAACACAUGCAAGUCGAACGAGACAUUCGGGUCUAGUGGCGCACUGGUGCGUAACGCGUGGGAACCUGCCCUUAGGUUCGGAAUAACUCCCCGAAAGGGGUGCUAAUACCGGAUAAUGUCUUCGGACCAAAGAUUUAUCGCCUUUGGAUGGGCUCGCGUUGGAUUAGCUAGUUGGUAGGGUAAAAGCCUACCAAGGCGACGAUCCAUAGCUGGUCUGAGAGGAUGAUCAGCCACACUGGGACUGAGACACGGCCCAGACUCAUACGGGAGGCAGCAGUGGGGAAUAUUGGACAAUGGGCGAAAGUCUGAUACAGCAAUGCCGCGUGAGUGAUGAAGGCCUUAGGGUUGUAAAGCUCUUUUAACCGGGAUGAUAAUGACAGUACCGGGCGAAUAAGCUCCGGCUAACUCCGUG
rnacentral:rRNA from 1 species